rnacentral:rRNA from 1 species
AUACGUAGGGUGCAAGCGUUAAUCGGAAUUACUGGGCGUAAAGCGUGCGCAGGCGGUUUUGUAAGACAGAGGUGAAAUUCCCGGGCUCAACCUGGGAACUGCCUUUGUGACUGCAAGGCUAGAGUACGGCAGAGGGGGGUGGAAUUCCGCGUGUGGAAGUGAAAUGCGUAGAUAUGCGGAGGAACACCGAUGGCGAAGGCAAUCCCCUGGGCCUGUACUGACGCUCAUGCACGAAAGCGUGGGGAGCAAACAGGAUUAGAUACCCUGGUAGUCCACGCCCUAAACGAUGUCAACUGGUUGUUGGGUCUUCAUUGACUCAGUAACGAAGCUAACGCGUGAAGUUGACCGCCUGGGGAGUACGGCCGCAAGGUUAAAACUCAAAUGAAUUGACGGGG